rnacentral:lncRNA from 1 species
AUAAUUCAAAGGUAUUCUUGCUAUGCUCCAGGUGAAAGUGUACCCUCUUUGAGGAGGAGAACUUCUAAGCCUGCAGAGCCUAGAGUCACAGGGAUGAGAAGUGCCAAGUCCUCUAGCAUGUCAGUAGGAGUGAAGCAGGUAGGACCAUUCCUGCUUCCACCCUCGGUCCCUGGACCUAUGCAUUCUUCCUGUUGAGGACAUAGGACCAUAUAGAAGUCUUUGAUUCAAUGCAUAUAGUGGAAGAUGACCUCCCAUCCUCAUGGAGUGUUUCCUCCAAGAACUCUAGGGAGCUGGCUGCUUCUGGGUAGUGUGUAUGUGAUAUGACCAGUAGAUCCUAUGGUUGUGGGCCCAUCUUCUCACCUCCCUUACUGUAAUGUGAAUGCUCUGGUUUGAAGUGAUAUUAUAUAGGAUUCUAUCCAGUAGAGCAAACACUCCAUAACCCACCCCUUGCAGAGUAGUGCUGGCUGAGGUCCUACCAGCAGAAAGGGCAAACAUACAUCUAAAGUAUGCAUCCAUUCCUGUGACAAGGAACUACUGGCUCUUCCAAGACAAAAGGGACUCAAUAUAGUCAACUUCUCACCAAGUGACUAAUUGGUGUCCUUGAGCAAUGGUGCCAUAUUGCAAGCUCAGCAUCAGUCUCUCUUGCUGGUAUGUUGGCUAUUCAGCAACAGAUCAGCCUUGACAAAUACAGUUCAUGCUGUUGGGCUCACAUGUAGCCUCCAUCUCUGCCGCUCUGGCCACUUCAUUCUCAUGCUCUUUGUUACAGCAUUGGAGCGGCUGUUGACAGAGGGCUGAAGUCGGCUGGCAGCUGUCUGCCCGACCAUUUAAUGUCCAUCCAUGGUGGGUGCUAUCUGAUGAGUGUUAACAUGUGAUACAAAGAUUUUCAUACUUUGUGUUCACUCUUAUACAUUUAUCUGCACGCCUCUACUCUAUAGGCAACUAUAAUGAAUAUCGACUUUAAUUAAGAGUGGUCGGUGAGUGCCAUUUAAUUUGAGAACUGUAGGGGAGAAGGAGCCAACCAUGGGGGAAACAAGAGGAAGAGUGUUUCAGGCAAAGCAGACAAUGUGUGCAAAAUUCUGUGGUUUAAGGGGACACGGCCAAGAGAGAAGGACAGUGCGGAGAACACAGCAGGAGAGGGAGGGUGACGCAAGGUGAGGUGGACGUGGAAAGCCACUGAGCAUGGGGGUGAAAUAAUGAGAUUUACAUUUUCUAAAGCUCUUUCUGACCCUCCUGUGGUGGGUGGAUUGGAAGGAAGCCAAGGAUGAUGCUCGGAGAGUAGUAAGAGGCGGUUUUAAUAGCCUGUGAAAGAUAAUACUGGCCUGGAUUAAAAAGGUGGCAAAGAGGAAGUUAGAAAUGCACGAUUCCAAAUCUAUUUUGGAGGUCCAGUCGACAUGUUCUACUGAAGGCAAAUUUUAAUAGCAAGAUAAAUGCAUAUUUUCCUAAGUACAAAAUAAAAUGCCACUUGAUCGAAGUCCAUCUCCCCACAUAAUGACAGGAAGGAUGAAUUAGAUUUUUAUAGCUAUCAUAAAACCCAUGCUCUUUACUUGAUUGGCAAGAGAGCAUAUUUACCAAGUAAUAUAUAUAAACGUAAGUCCGUCUGGUUUCUCUCAGUUUUGUUCUGGGUUAUAACUGGUGAAGAAGGAAAUAGACAAGACUCAAGGAAACAGUGAAGCUUCUCAGAUACAGAUCCUGGAAGAAAUGGCAGCAGGGAAGACAAAUGGGCACAGAGUUAGAAAUCAGUAAACUGAUGAAAGAGGCCAAAACUCCAACUGUAAGCUGAGGCUCAAAGAGGCCUUUUCAUCUGCACCGGCCCUGGGGACAUCGCUGAUCCAGCCAGUAAAAUAAUACACGUUCGUGGUAAAGGACUUGAACGGUCAGAGAGCAGUUCAUCUUCUCUACCGUAUUUACUAAGCAAAUGCAGUUCAAAUCCAUUUUCGUUUUAAACUAUUCUCAAAGGGUGACCAGCAGCUAUCUGCAAAGUUUUAUCCAGUGCACACGUUAUUCUGCAACACUGCAGAAUAAACAAGAUGUCUAUUUUAAGCCCCACAAUGAAUUGGUCCCUGGCACCACAGACAGCCGCUUAAGAAGAAAUAAAAAAUGAAAACGUGUGGCAGGAGUCUGUCCCUGACCUUAAGGACCACACAGCUCCCAAGGCCUGUGGAGACUGGCGGGAACACGGCUCAGGAUUUUUCAAAUCUCCUUACUCCAAAUCUCCAAAGCCUUAAAGCUAAAAACUUUCCUCCCUGUGAAAACCCAGGUUCAAACACAGCCUGGUUCCCUGAAGCACCAUGGCUUUUUUUUUUUUCUUCACAGUAGAGCUGAGCCAAGAGUAACUUCCAGUCCAUUAUGAACUUGCUCUGCAAGUGGAGGAAGACGAGCUCAUUUGAGAGCUGGGGAGUGACCCUUAUAGGGUCUCUGGGGACCCAGUAUCAGUGGCGCUCACUGUUUCCUCUUCCCUGGAUGCAACAAUAUAUUAAGAGAGAGAGAAAAAAAAGGAGGUUGGCUCUUUUCAUGAUUUUCCUUUUUAAUUUUUGUUGAAAAUGGAACUGUGUUCUCUUGAUCCUUCAAACAAAUGGAGGGGAAGUGGAAGCCCAAGAGUUUCUCUUAGGUUCCCCGGAGAGGGUGUAUGUGUUUGUACUAUGAUGUGGGAAAAGUCCUUGUGUAUCUGCUGCAUUGUCAUGUCGUACCAGAGUGAUUUGCAAUAGGAAGUGUGGGAUGAAUACUGUUUCUAUGUAAGAGAAAGUGAUGGAGCCAUAGUCUUUGAAUCAAAGAUCUCAAUGUGCCCUUCAUCUCCAAGACAGGCUUCCCCUGACCUCCACCCCCAUCUGUAUUAGAUGAUGAAAGAAACACGAGAAUACUCUCUGAACUUGACCUAAACAAUAAGUGCAGCCAGAAAUCCUUGCUUUUCAGAAGGCAGUGGGGCAGGGAGGGGGCGAGGGGGAGGGUGAUUGAAAGGACACGCUGGAGAUCACAGAGGCAACGUGAAAGGGGAUCAUAAAAGUUUCUGGCAUUGCACCUGAAGAAUUAUUUUAAACCGAUACUUGAAAUAUGCAUUGUGAGUCUCUUCACUCGCAGAUCUUAAUCAACAAAUGGCCUUUGGAAGGAAAGCAGCGUGAUACAUUAAGAGCCAUCUAAAGGGGUCACGAGGAUACUUCUUUCAUUUUAGCGAUUCAUCAUAUUGAGCAGGCUGGCAAAUGAUUGUGUUUCUUCUUCUAGAAAGUAGGAAUAAUGGAACUGGUCUCCAAGCAGUGUCAGAUGAGAGAAUAGGUGAGGUAGAGUCUAUUAAUCAUGCUGGCCUUACAGACACAAUAGCUGUGUCAUUUGCCAUCGUUGAAGGGCAGCUUCCCUUCCAACCUGGAGCGAGUCUAGCAAAGAAAUCAGCUCCACUUAGAGCGGCAGGUUAUCCAAGUCAGAAAAGUACUUGAUAUCCUCAGCUGCGGUUUUGCAAGACUGUAUAUAUAGAAUUGGGUCAGCUACAUCCUCUCACUCUUUAAACACCAACUGAAAAUAAAAGAAGUAUGAAAUCCCAAGCAGUAGCCAUCUUUACAGGAAGAAAAAGCAAAAAAAUCAAAGCAAGGUUAUCCAGAGCCUUAAAAACAGUUAAUGACAAUGUCAGCCUCCCAGGGGACAUUUGAUUAACAAAUCAUCAAAUAUGAUGAUGCAUCUCUAGGAAGCAAGCACUGCAGACAGGGUCUAAUCCCUCAGAAGUCACUCUGAGCACCUAUCUGAAGAACAUAGGUGACUUUGUGAAUUUCAAAGGGUUUGUCUUUCCAAAAGCUCUGUGAGCCUCCAGGACACUAAUCCUCUUAACUUCCUGCAGGGACACUUCACUUUUGAUCUCAGGUUUAUCUAAUCAAAUGCUUCUCCAUAAUCAGACUGUUUGCUUUCUGAGCCAAGGGCUGGGCCACCAUCACACCACCUCCAGCAGGUUUUUAGAAGGACUCGAGAUUGGAUAUGGCCACUAUCUCUGCUUCUCCUUGGAAGACUUUAAGAAAGGUAUAAAAUAGAUCCAUGAACUUACCAGGAAAACCCUUCAAAGGGGGACCUGUACAAAAUACUGCUAGUCAAAAUCAUGCAUCUUUCCAUUAUGGUUAAAAUUCUUUGGGGAAGAAGGGAGCCCCCAGAAUAGAGGUGUGAGGAUUCCAGUGAAACCUCACCCCCAGAGAGACAUUAAACUGGUAAACAUUUGUAAAGACAACUAU